AGAGAGUCAAGUCUGUCAAAAAUGACAUAGAUAUAAUAGAGCCUCCCUCUUGGCAAGGCAGCGGGUCAGGUCGCCUCUUAAUUCUCUUUCCUGGCUGGCUCACUCUGUGUGUGCAACUGCAAACCAGAGGGAACAGAAAUGCUGUGAUUUGCAUGGACUGGUCCUCCCAGAAGCUGAAAACAAAAAUGCAGAGCAGUUUUUGAUGGACACAAAAAGAAUGAAAUCCUAAUGAGGGUAGUGAAGAAUUAUAACUGCAAAGAAUGAAGAGACAAAGAUUAAAAGUGGAAAAGAAUAUACAUAUUUUUAAAUAAAAUCUUCUGGACUACUGACAUCUUUGUAAUUAUGUGUUGGGACAGUGUUUCCUAUUAUUUUAGAAUUUCUUCAGUCAUUUGGGGACAAGAGCAAAGCCAAACAAGGGAGCAGGUAAGCGCGUAGAGGAGAUAUCUUCAGCUGUUACCCAUCAUUUCUGGAUGUGGGUGAGGAGUUAGGCAAGUUAAAGUCAAGAAUUAUUCUCAGGUGUUGGAUAAAGAGAAGAGUCCCAACUCUAUUAAUGUCUUCUCUGGUCCCAUCUAUGGCUUUACUUUGCAAAACUCUUUCUGUUCUGGAUUUGGGACCCCAACAACUGCAGGCUCCUGUAGGCCUUCUCAUCCCUGCGCUGUUCAGUGACCUACACUGAAGACAGCAGGAAGAUGGUGAUGCCCCUACAAUUAAUUGCCAGAAUAUGUGGAAAAAGAAGCAAAGAUGAUGUGGAGUCUGAAGGUCACUGCAGGGAGGAUGUGCUGAGUCUUACUGUGAACAUUAAAGGAAAAUCUAAACCUGCUCAGGAAUUAUGGGCUCUUGAACUCUGACUGACCUCCUCCAGUAGAUUUGCUUUUAGAGAAUAUUGUUUGAUUAGUGAUAUUAGGUUCUGAAUGCUCUGUAGCUCAUCUGAGUGGAUUGACAAGUAAGGGAAUAGAUUGCUCUGUGAAAAAUAAUAAUAGUAAUAAUCCAAAGAUGAUUUUCUAAGUGUUGAAAAUCCCAUGCAAAAACCUUUUCUCAUAGGCAGAUCCUAUUCACUUAAGUGAAACAAUAACUUGGUUUCAGAGGAAAAAAAAAGUAUAUGAAAACAAUUGUCCCUUUUUCAAGAUAGUCUUGCAGCAAGCCUGAGGUUAACAGUAUGUGUUCGAUUCAUCGUAAUUACUAGAAAUGUUUCAUCCAUUCAGAAGCCUUGGCAAUACCCCCAGGACUGCUAAGCUUUAAUAUAAGCUGUUUUUCUCUUUUAUCUCUGUUUUUUCUCUCACAUGAUUUCCCCUUUUCUUUACUCUAGGUGUCGAGCUUUUGUUGAUUUUUUUCACUUGGAAAGGUAACAGUAAAGUGAUGGUGUUUCACAUCUUUUAUCUGAAUUUCUAGAGUCCAAUUCUUACAAAGAAACUAUUUCUUGAUAAAAUUAUUUCACAGGUUUUCUAGUGAAUGAGUUUGAUCAAUCAGUAGUUCCCGUUUGAUAGAGUAUACAAAUGAUGUUGUGGUACAUGAUAAUCUUCGGGUUUUCCCACUACCUAGCAGAACGCUGGUACCGAGGUGGGAGUGUGGAAAUAGAAAAACUGACAGGCCAGACAAAUGAACAAUUAAGUUUGUGUACCGAGGUCUGUGGCAACGUAAUAGAAUGAGGUGGAAUACGUGCCCGGAAUAUCAAAAUUUUACAUGCUAGUUUAAAGUGUCCCAGGAGAGCUGUGGGGAUAGAUACUGCAUGGAAAGUGAGCAGUGUUCUCAUUACAGCAGAUUAUGUUACUUAUCAGUAGCCUGAAUAUGGGAAAAUAAGACUGGAACUGUUUGAAAAUAAGUGAAUAUGCAUAUUUUUCUAAACCAAAAUACUGCUUAUUUGCAGGGUGUAUAUUUUGAAGUAAUGACUGGUCAAAGAGGAGUAUCAGUGCAUUUCAAGGAGCAAAGUGUGAGAGAUUUUCAGCUUGAUCUCAGGUAAGAGCCUGGCAGGUUGUGCUGAUAAAUCAUGUCAUAGAAGACACAAGUUCCAAAAGCUACCAUUCUCCAGCCAGAUCUGGAGGGUUAUGAGUGGUGAAAUGACAAUGAGAAGUGAAAAUGCUUGCUUCUAUCGGUUAUUUAAGUAAUUUCUCCUUCCAGAAAAUUGAUGUAGUCCACAUUGCAUACUGCACUGCACCUCCAGUUUGGACAGGAGAGGAGCUGUGUUAGCAAAUGCUCAACCAAAUGUAAAAACAUUGCUAAAGUAAUGGACUCCAACAAAGAUCCAAUUUCACUUUAGGGGACAAGACUUGUAGCACAUGCGCAAUCUUUAUGUGAGCUGAUGAAUCCACCUAGAUCAUCACAGAGAAAAUUGAUCUUCAGAAAAGCGAUUGGAGCUGCAGGUUUCCUGCUGUGGGAGAACCCAGGCUACCUGGGAUGUGUUCAGACCACAACAACUCCGUGUCCUUCUUGUGCUGGGGGCCCCAGAACUGGAUGCAGUAGUCCACGUGGGAUCUCACGAGAGGAGAAUAGAGGGGCAGAAUCACCUCCCUCAACCUCCUGGUCACGUUUCUCUUGAUGCAAUACAGGAUAUGGUUGUCCUUCUGAGCUGCAAGCACACGCUGCUGGAUCAUGCUGAAUCUUUCAUCAAGUGACAUUCCCAGAUCCUUCUCCUCAGGGCUUCUCUCAAGCCAUUCUCUGCCCAACCUCUGUCUGUGCUUGGGAUUGCCCCAACCUGGGUCAAUUUCAAACGUCAAGUCAAUUUCAAAGAUGAAGUUUUACCAUUGUCUUACUAUUUGCUAGCAAGAGUGUAUUUGUUUUUUUAGCAGUAGCUUCAGUUCACUCAGUGACUGCUCUGAGCCAUCAGUGGCAUCAGGCAUGCCUCUCUCAAGCAUGAAAACAGCCUCUUGGAACACAUGAAAUGUGAGGCCGUUUCCUUGUGAGUUAGAAAUAGCAGUAAGAGGAGGCAUCUUUGUUCUGUUGUGCUUUACUUCUUGUUUGAGAUUUUCGAGGGUUUUGUUUGUUUGUUGUUUUCCUAAUUCUGUUUUACUUCUCCUUGUCGCAUUAGUGUUCUUUGAGGUUGGUUAGGUGUUUUUUGUUUUGGUUUGGUUUGGUUUGGUUUUUUUUGCUGUUUUGUUUUGUUUUCCAACCACAAUGCUGAGGAGAAUCAUUCAGCCUCCAGCUAUUUUUUAUGAAAACUUCUGAAGAAGACAUCUAGCAUGUGUCCCUUAACUGCUCUUGUUCAUUGCUGGCAAAUGCAUAGCUAAUGGUGGUGAUUACAUUGAAAAUCAGUGUUCUGUAGCUGAGAAUUUGCUCUAUGAAAUAGUUUUAUUACUCUCUUUGUAUCUGUUGUCAUUUCCAUGGAAAUAAAUAGGAGGCAUUACUUUCAGAGUGACCUGCAUAUGUGAAUGGAGAAUAGAUACAUUUUCACUAAAUAUUCCAAAGCCAUCUCUGUGCAAUACCCCUGAUGUCUGUGCUGUCUUGAAAAGGUUGACCUUGUUGAUAUUCAAGAAGAUGAGUGUUAAAUGGCUUCAGUGUGAGGUUCUGUUGAAAUGAUAGAGAGAGUAGAUACCACUUCUCCAGAAAUUAUUAGACUGCAUCUGUUAAACAACAGAAGAAUUUGGCAAAAUAGAGCAUGUAAGCUGAGAAUAAGGGAACUUAGGUUUGUCAGCUGUAAUUAUGUUUAUGGAAGUUUCUUGUACUGUAUGUUCAUAGCUUCUUACACUCUGUACCAGAAGUCAUCAGUACCCAAUUGCGUAUCUGGCUCUUGCUGUCUUGUGAAAGACAUUCCCUUUUUGUGGAGACCUAUAGACCCUCUUCUUCCUAAGGAAUGGUUGCAUGUCCUAUUUUGGCAACCGCAUGAAAGGAGAGAUGUUGAAAUAAAACAUAAUUAGUAAUGAUUCUCCAGUAUCACCUGAUUACACCAGUAAUAAAAAUGUAUUUGGGUAAAAUUAGUAAAUUAAUGCAGAUUGAAAUAAUUGUCAGUAUAAAUGAUUUGGUUUGAGCUUUGCUAAACAAAUUGUGUGUUUUAACAGACAAACACUUAUGGUUUAGUGCAAAAAGGAUUUUAAAAGUCAUUUUCCAUGCAUAGUCCCUAUAUAUCAGGGAGGAGAAAUAAGGGAAAAGACUCUUCAAGGCACCAAAUAUUUUUGUAUACAAAAGUAGAUUUCAUCUCAUAAAAUAAUUUUUGAAGAGAAAAACACUCCUCCCUCUUGCCCUGACCUCAGAUGGAAAGGAGAAGAGGCACCUAUUGUGGUACAAUGUUGCUUGGGAAAACAUUGUGGCUGUCUGUUUUGAAGGAAAUGAAAAACCAUUAAAAGGAUAAUAGAAUAAAAGUGCAAUGAGAUGUUCGAAGGAUCCAUCAAUAAAAGGAUGGCAAGCAAUCGCUAAAGACAGCCCUUUCUAAAUGUAGUUUUAUUGCCAGAGGAUGGAAAAUUGAGAGAGAAUUUGCGAACAAUUGAAUUUAUGGUAAUGGCAUAUAAGCAUAUUGUACCACCAAAGCAAAGCACAGAGAGAGUAUAAAACACAAAAUACACCUAUGUCCCAUGGAAACGCUCGUGUUCUGCCUAUUAUCUCCUGGUAUUGCAAAAUGUAAUAUCCAGAUAUUAAAAUCAAAUAUAUUGUGAAAUGCAUUAGCAGUCGUUGACACGGAUGACAUUCUGCUCUGUGCCUGCUUUAAGGUGAAUUGCUGGACCAAAAGUAAUGCCAGAGGUGAGUGCAAAGGAGCUUGCUCCUGUGUGCUCAGGGCAACGUUGUUUCUUGGCUUCGGUGACAUCUGGGCAUCCCUGUGCUGGCUUAUGGGCAAAUCACCUGGGGAUAAUUUGAGUCAAUUUGGAUUUUAAGCCUUUUUAAAAUGCGCUGUUGCUCGGUCUGUACAGCCGGCAGAGGUGGCUGCUAAACAACAGGCAGGAAGAAAAUAAUUAACUGAUGGGCUGGGAGAUGGAGCCUGCCAGUAACCAGAUAAACCGGAAAGGAGAAGAACAACUUCUGCCACAGGACAGGCACAAAUAUCUGCUCUGUACGAAGCCACAGAGAAAGGCUGAUAGCGUGAAAAACCUGUGGCUGAAAAACCACAGGCGUCAGGGAACUAACUGUAUGCUUACAGUCAGCCUGCACUCGACCAGAAGGGCAGCCUUCAGGGAGGGAUGGGGAAGGCUUUCCUGUAAGACGCUUCGAUUUUCUUGCAUCUGUGGAGAAACUGCUGGCCUGCUUUCAAAGAGGAUAUCUGUGGGUGGUUUGGGUUUAGUUUUUACACCAUCUCCCUGCUUCACGGUACCAGCAGCCUGCUGUAGCACUGUGCCUCCCCUAGGGGCUGCAGGGUGGUGAGGUGUUGUUUCUGAUGCCCCAUCCCCACUGCUGCCCUCUCCCAUUGCUCUCGCUGCAGUGCUGCUGCCUGCAACAGGGGGACAACACAGCUGCAAAAACAAUUGGGGAUUACUUUCUAGUGUUGUUUAGCUUUUUAAAGUGUAGUCCUUCCUACCACCAAGGAGAGCCUGCAAGCAAGUACUGGUGGGAUUAGAGAGCAUUGGGUUCUAGUGUUGGGUUCGAGUGUAGGCAGACAUGAGGUUAGAGAGUGUUGGCAGAUCUCGGAAUGUACCACCAACACACAGAAAUGGCAGAGCCAGCUUAUGACCCUGCUAAGACAAGUGGACAAGCCACCGACAGUUAAAAUACCACUAAGCCAAGACUCUGUUUUAAAGAUAAAGACUUCAGUGUUAACUUCUUUGUCAGCAGCACAGCAUUGUCUCUUUCCCUAAAAAUCUAAUUAGCAUGUAUCACAGUGUUGUUAUUAUUAAUGACUCUACCCCUCCUGAAAUAUAACAUUUCUGAUUUACAAUGUUUUGUUUGUUUCGCAUUGUUUCACCUGAAAUACGGUGACUGCUAAAUCUCUGGUAAGCCCUUAAAUGAGGGAGGAACAGCAAAAUGAGCUCUGCCGAAGGAUUUUAACCUAUCAUUCCAAGAGCAUAGUUAUCUUGGCAGCAAACAAGGAUUUAAGUACCUUUGAGAAAUUUGACUUUAAUUGUGGAGGAAUGGCAUCAUCAGCUGCAAAAAGUUAAACCCCUCAAAAGCACUCUACUUUUUCAUUAGCAACUAUUUAGGUGAUAAUUAGCAGGAGGAGGACUGGAGGGAUGUCAAAGCAUGUGCAGAAUCACCUGGCCUUGGGAGGGUCAUAGGGCCUUUCAGAGAGUUCAUUUUGAGUUCCUGGAGGUCUACAGCAUGGAAACGUGAUGCUGUGGGCAGUCUGUAGCUUAGCUGAGAGGAGAAAAGUUAAAACCUGGCUCUGAAGAUAAAGCUGGGGAGCAAUUUGUGAGUAUAUUAAGAGCUAGAAUGGAAGUUGGUCGUGUCCUUUCACAGGGCAUGAUUCUUGGGGUUAUGUUAUUUCCCUCGCUAUCACAGUAGGCAUCCUAAGAGUUUGAUGUGCUGUUGUCUCAUGAGCAGCCCUGUAAGUGUAACAUAAAGCAUGGGGAGCUGGAGGAGGUAUUUUGAUAUUAGUUCAAGAUCUGCACCCUCUUUUCCCACACAACCAGAGCUCUUGUGAUAAAAGAUGUAUACAUACAGAAACAACAAUUAUUUUCUAGAUAAUUUCUUAUAAUAUGAAAAAAUGUGGAUAGUACUGACUACAUGUUCUGCAAGGAGCUAUGGUGGAAACCAUCAUGGAUUAAAUGCUCCCAUCUGUGGUACCUAGCUACUUGUGAAUGUUUCAGACCUUGUUUGUUAGGAAGCUGGACUUUCCAAGCACUGAUAUGCAUCCGUGGCUGCUGCUUUCUCCUCAGGAGCUGCCCCUCCCACUGGUCACUACAGCAUGGUGGUGGUUUGAUGUGUCCUUCCAAGGCUGGCCACUGUCAAUCACCAGCUUUGUGAUAAUGAGCGCUCAGCUGGCUGUCCUUGUUCUUCCCACCUCCUCCCAUUCUCCAGUCAGAAAUCCUGAUUUACUAAGCUGUCUUCAAGCACAAAUCUGAUUCAGUACUGUAUUUGUCAAUCCCAACUCCCUUCAUUCAAGCAGAAUGGCUGAAAAGCAGCAAACACAACUCUGCACCUGAUAGGGUCCAGCACUGUGGAAAUCAGUAUCUGAAGACUGGAGUCAGGCUCUCCUUCUAUACAAUUUAAAUAAGUUCUUUACAGAGGGAACUAUGCAUUUCCUUGUCAAUCACUGCCUUCUGCCAAGUACUCAGCUUUCAUUCUCUUCACCAUUAGCCCUGUCUUCAAUUUAUUCUGUAUAAAUUGAGAUGCUGUAAUUGGGCUUCUCUGGGUCUGCACAGCCUGUCUUCAAGUACCCCAAGUGUCUUUUCCAGUCUUCAAUUACUCCUCUGAUAGACUACAGGCAUCCUGCCUUUUAGUUUAUUAGGCAGCUUCUUAUCUCAAUUGUAGUCUUAAAAAACUCCAUCAUUUCAGUUGCACAGCUCUAAUAAUUAGUUUCUGCUUUUCUGGUCUGGAUAGUGCUACUUUAGCUUUUAUAAAGAAAAUGGGAGAAAGAGCUGUAUGGCAGAAACCAUUACCUCUGGUAGCGCUCAGCCAUGUAGAGUGAGCACUCCAGUCAUAUGCAUCAGAUUCUGAAUCCUGUAAAGCUGUGGUGAUGAGCAGACAAACAACAACAACAAAAAGGUGCUAACAGGGGAUGAAAAGAUGAAUGAGGUGAGAUAGAUUACCUUUUCACAAAAAAUGCUCAUUGUAUCUUUCCAUUGCCAAUCUGUAGCAAUUAUAUUUUCAUUGGGAAGAUGAGCUUGAUCUGGGUUUAGAGAUGCACGUAUGAAUCUUAAUCAUGUAGCAAUAUAUGUAGAACAGGCUGCCAAAGUACAAAUAUUCUGAUUUUCACCUGCAAUAAUACCUGAAGUUAGAAUAAGAUUCAGCACUUCUAAAUGUUAUUUAACCUCCGGAAGAAGGAAGCCUGAUUUGAAUGCAUUGAGAUGCUAUGAACUAGAGGUGUUUUAAUCAGGUAUUCCCACCAGUGGGAAUCCAUAACUGCAACAAAUAUUCCUCCAGACGAAUGAACACAAGGAUCACUUUUGGCCUUCAGCUGCCCCUACUCCUGACCAGCCACGUGACGCACUGCUGGGUCUUGCAGACAAGCCAUCUUCUGUGCCUAGAGAGAGUAUUGGGGUAUCUCCAUCCACUUCCAUCAUUUGUCAGGCUGCACCAAGCUCAUCGCCACCAGAGCUGGUCCAUCUUCUGACCAUUCACAGGCAAGCAAUUUGGAGCUCUUUUUUCUGGAGGCCAGCAAACAUGUGAUACCUCAUAUGAUGUGGAGCUCUAUGGGCACUACAGGAGCCUGACAAAAGGUUAAGUAAGACCCUUGCCGGGCAUUAUUUUAAUUACUCACAGGUACAGUGCAAGGUGGUGCCUGCCAAGGCUACUGCUCAUUUGGCUGUGCUUCAAUGUUGUUCAGGCAGGAGGAAGUUUUAAUAAAUUAUCAUCAAGCAGGGAACGUGGCUAUAAUACUGUGCCAUAGAAUGGAGAGUUUUACAGCUAUUUUCAGUCUUUCUGGGUCAUAUCUCAGCUUCCUUCCUUUGAACUCUUGUAAGGGAAUUCAGUCUAUGUACAACAUUAAGGGUUUUUUUUCCCCUUUGGCGGAGCCCUGAAUACCUUCAUUUUUCAAAUAGAGAGGCUGAUCCCAUAACUCAGAUGAGUUAGCUGCCUUAUGGGCAUGACACAUAAAGGCAGGAGAAACUGGCCUUUAUGUGCAGGGUCUGCGACCCAAAAAGCGUGACUCGCAUACUUAGUUUCCAUCCUCUUGACAAGUAGCCAGUUUCUGCAGUAAGAUGAAAUACAUCUCCUCUACACAUAGCUGCUACCAUUUUAAGGUUAAAUCUUGACAAACUCUGGAAGGCAGCAGGGAAAGUUCAGCUGUUAAAAAUGCAAUGGGGUUUUAUGGAAAGGCUUUCUGAGGAUGAUGAGCAUAUUGGCAGGAAAAACUAUCAGCGAUUUCAGUACAAGUUUUUUGGUGCCUGCAUUCCAGCUGUAAAAAAAUACACGUGCACCUGAAAGCUUUUUUCAGGACCAGAAAGCUAUACACAUAAAACUAGCUGAGAGUUACGUGGUUGCAACUGAAAGCAUUCAGGCACAAAAUGUUUCCUUUGACCAGUUCUUUGUGCAAAUGGCAGGGAUGGUGAGUGCUUGUGGAACUUGCUUGUUUGAGAGACUGUUGGUGAAAUACAGUACUAGAGAUGCCAUACCCUACGUUUUUUCCUACUUCAAAGCAGGGACAUUAGUGGAGAUGUGCAAACUGGAUCCUGUAUCUAACACGUUCAUGUGGUUGCAGUUUGUCCCUGGCACCCAGCAAGCAGAGCAGUGGCCACACUCCUUUACCUAUCUCUGGAUUUUA
ensembl:lncRNA